AUGUUACGACCGACCCCCCACUGUUACGACAUCAGAAGUGGGAUUAGUGGACUUGGAUGAAGACAACGUGAUGUGACGUUCACAACAAGACAAUGCAAGUUUCGAUUAUCACAAUCAGAAGAAGAUUAUGAUGAUUAUCACAUUCGUGUGACCACGUGAUGAAGAUGUAGUGUCAUGCCUGAAUUUGGAGAUGGACCUGAAUUUGAAGUGACCUGGACCUUGUUAAUGAUCGACAUCACUACAUGCCGUAAGAUAUGAUGGCGUGAACAUCACAAUAUGUCCAUACUGUGUGCAGUCGUGUUUGAAAAUUAUGGAACCUGAAAUUGAAAACUGUUAUUACGGUGAGUCGUUUUCAUACUGGAACCUUAUUGUUGUUGACUUUAUUGCUAUGUGAAUUUCCGUUUCUAAUAAUGAGGAAAUUGUUUUUUAAAAAAAACAAAAUUGACGAGACACAUUGUGUCAAUCCGUGUCAAUCACACCGCGUUUUCCAAUCUGUUUUCAUCAUCGUAAAAUCUUUGUAUUUUGGUCUAAAAAUAUUUCGAAUUGGUGUAGACACGCUUGACCUGCGUGGUUAAAGUUGUAUUUUCUCACUCCAAGCAAAAAGAAAUUAAUCAUGACAUGAUAAUUGAGUCUCGUUAAAUAACGUGUUUUGUAAUCUACCGUCAUUCAUCAAAUGUUUCAAUAUUCAACAUUCUUUAAUAAUCUUUUUAAACCGAUUGAAAGAAAGUCAUGUGAAUACAAUAACACAGUGAAUUCUUUUGUUUCAUGUCAUAACUUGGUUCGGCAAUUGGUGGAUUGCAAGCGGCGAUGUAAGUGGCGCGGGCUGAGCUGUAGUCGUGUAAAGUGACGACAUCAUGGCAGCGAGUUGUAUACCAGCCGGACUUGCUGCGCUGGUGAAGACCUAAACCAUGUCACAAGACCAGUGGUUGAUCUUUUAUUGGAAAUUCUUAUAAGUCCCGGUGAGUCGUAUUUGUUUUACCUGACUUGAAAGAUGGAAAGUUUUAAUAGGAUACAAACGAAUAUAGUGCAGAAAGUUCUCUUUUGUUAACUUUAGUUAAAUUGGGAAUCGUAAUGAAGUGAAGUAAACAUUCUGAAGUAAAAUGAUUUGGAUUAUGAUUACUUAAAUGAAAUAGGCUUAGAAAAUGCCCGAAACAGAGUAAAUCAUUAGUGAGAAAAUUGGAGCAAAACAUUCUAAAUGAUGUUCAUACCAAAUCAGUAAUUGUGUAAGUGCGGUAAUAUUUCCUCAAGGUGUUGGUCGUUACAUUGUGACUUUAUGACUUGUGUGUGAGAGAGCCAGGGUGCUCUGUCGUUUUGUGGUCGUGGACCAAGGUGGCCAUCCCGGGAGGGGAUGUUGUGACUUAUGACUGUUUUGUAGCGUAACCGCAGUUUGGGGAGGAAUAUUACAGUCUGUUGUGCUUUGCAGUAGAUGUGUAAUGUUGGUUGAUUUAAUUGAGCAAUGAAAGCUAUGAUUGACCUGUUUCGGAGCAACUCUGAUAGGAAGCUGCGCACUUGUAGUGUUCGGGGCUGCAGCCACUUUUGUGCUGCUCGUCUUAGAAACUACAGGUAUGCGGUCGAGGCCUGGAUGUCAUGUUGACUUUGUAUUUGGUCAUGACAUUGUACCUGAAUCUAAGUCAAGUUGACCUCCGGUAGAAUUAGUCGAACUGCGCAAAUUAGAAAUUAGUGAUAUAAAAGAAAUUGUGUAACGCAUUGACCACUAUUCUACCAACUAAAAUGUAAAGUUUGUGUGCUAGCUGUGUUGAGAUAUCGUCACUUGGUGUAAGUGGCAUGAGUUGCUGUCGCUCGAUUUAGGUGGCAGUGACGACUGUGUUGGGAUAUCGUCACUUGGUGUAAGUGGCAUGAGUUGCUGUCGCUCGAUUUAGGUGGCAGCAACGACUGUGUUGAGAUAUCGUCACUUGGUGUAAGUGGCAUGAGUUGCUGUCGCUCGAUUUAGGUGGCAGUAACGACUGUGUUGAGAUAUCGUCACUUGGUGUAAGUGGCAUGAGUUGCUACCGCUCGAUUUAGGUGGUAGUGACGCCUGGUUGUGAGAUAUCGUCACUUGGUGUAAGUGGCAUGAGU
rnacentral:lncRNA from 1 species